rnacentral:rRNA from 1 species
CCUACGGGUGGCAGCAGUGAGGAAUAUUGGUCAAUGGGCGGAAGCCUGAACCAGCCAAGUAGCGUGCAGGAUGACGGCCCUACGGGUUGUAAACUGCUUUUAUACGGGAAUAACGCGCCUUACGUGUAGGGCUUUGCAUGUACCGUAUGAAUAAGGACCGGCUAAUUCCGUGCCAGCCGCCGCGGUACUACGGAAGGUCCGGGCGUUAUCCGGAUUUAUUGGGUUGAAAGGGAACGUAGGCCGCAUGUCAAGCGUGCUGUGAAAUGGCCGGGCUCAACCCGGGCCGUGCAGCGCGAACUGGCGUGCUUGAGUCCGCGGAAAGCAGGCGGAAUUCGUCGUGUAGCGGUGAAAUGCUUAGAUAUGUCGAAGAACCCCGAUUGCGAAGGCAGCUUGCUGCAGCGGAACUGACGCUGAUGCUCGAAAGCGCGGGUAUCGAACAGGAUUAGAUACCCCUGUAGUC